AAGUUAGAUUCUAGUCCUCAGUGUGAAUCUUUGGUGUCUUUCAGGGCAAGCCAGGUCCUAUGGGUGUCCUUGGGAGGCCAGGACCAAAGGGAGAACGGGCCCUACGCCGAGGAAGGCCAAAGACACUUGGAGAAGGAGAUCAAGUUCCUUGCUGACUCCCGGGAGGAAAGCUACGUGUCCCCUUCAGGGAUGCACGGUUUCCUUGCUGACUCCCGGGAGGAAAGCUACAUGUCCACCCUUCAGGGAUGCACGGUAAAAAAAAAAUGGGGGCACCAGGAAGCGGGUGGUGGUGGUGGUGGAAAGCACCUGACUGAAGGGCAAGAGGCUUUAAGGCAGGAGAAGAGAGCUUCUCCUAAGGCUGAGUUCCUGGACAUUUGAGCAGUAAGAUCAACUAUGCCAAUUGGGGCAGGAUUUUCAGGUUUCUUGGACUACCAAUCCCAUAGUUCUCCGUUUUGGGAGUUCUAGUGGGCAGGCAGGCACU
rnacentral:lncRNA from 1 species